AUACAUACCUAGAAGGGGAAAUACCAUGAUGAAGACGAUGGUUUUCCUAAGGCUAAGCCUGUCCAUUGCACUCCAGGUGUGCUGAUUGCCAUGAUAUCCUCAAAUCUGGCAUGCUCCGCUGCAGAAUUUGUGAAAGUGGGAGAUUGCAUUUGCCCUCUGCUG
ensembl:snRNA U1 U1 spliceosomal RNA